rnacentral:rRNA from 1 species
GUCGGGCGGUAACGGCCCACCAAGGCGACGAUCAGUAGCCGGACUGAGAGGUUGGCCGGCCACAUUGGGACUGAGACACGGCCCAGACUCCUACGGAAGGCAGCAG